AGCAAGGGGAGUUAAGGCUUAGAAUUCAGAUUGCAGGUAUAUUUCAGAAUGCUUAAAUGCUGGGGUCCUUCUAUUUGUGGCAUGUGGGAUGCUGCCUCAACACAGGCUGAUGAACAGUGCCAUGUCCAUGCCCAGGAUCCAAACUGAUGAAACCUUGGGCUGCCAAAGCAGAGUGUGCGAAAUUAACCACUUGGCCACGGAGCCCACCCCUCAGUUCAGCUUUUAUUAGUUAAUUUUCUGUGCAGGAGUAAGGAUAAGGAAAAUGAGACCCAGAGAGGCUGGAGAUCAUGGCCUUGCUCUUCCGUGCCAAGUUGCUGGACUCAUCUCCUCAGAGUGCUUCCUUUGAACUUCUUUAAUGCCACUUGACCAGACUUCACGUUGGGCUAUACUCAUGAGAUUUCCCUCCAGAAAUAGCCAAGGUUUGAAAUGAAACAAACCGUUUUUCAAGAUCAUCAAAAUAUUCUCAGAAAUAAACUGAAUGAAAUAUAUGGAUUUUUAAUUCCAAGGUCUGCACUCGAAGGGAGAGGCUGGCUUUCCAUGCAAAUAGUGCUCUCACAAACAUGGUGAACGUUCCUAAAACC
rnacentral:lncRNA from 1 species